AAAAGUUUAGCUUCGAAACCUAAAACUGUGAAGAGUGGAACUACAUUAGAUAGCUUAUUACAUGGAUCUGUUGACAAGUGGCAACACAACAUGCAAACGGUAGGUAUUACAUCAUCAAGGUUUCUGUCCCAGGAGUGACGGUCUAUAGAAAACAUGGCUUUGGGCUAUCUCAAUGCGAUCUUUUGGGUCAUUCAUUGUUUCAUCCCUUAAUACUUGAAGAAUGGCCCGUGCAGGAAACUCCCUGGACAUUCGAAUACAUGAAAAGGAUUAGAUUGCACUUCUGCGCCUAAUGUAACAUAUGAAUUCAGAAAAGUGGCGUCCAUAAAAGAACAGAUAUAGUGUUCACAGAUAUUGGCUUGAUCAAGUCCUAGUCCAACUUUACUACUGCACAUGCAGUGUGCGUAUGUGGGUGGAUAGGUAUAUUGGUAUUUAUGAACAACAAUCUACAUAUUAUCAAGGGAAAAGUACACUUAAGUAUCAUGUGGUUUACGUGUUUUAUUAAAAGGGGCUUGAAAUUUUCUUUUUUGCACAUAAGGGCUUAUGAUUUAAUACCUUUAACACUUAAGGGACAAAGUGACUAAUGGUAUUAAAUUUUUACUAAUGCGGCAGGUAUACGCUGACAUGGCAAUGACGUGGCAAAACGUGGCAUGCCAUCAAUGCCAUGUUAGCGACAAGUCAGCGCCACAUCAGUAAUUUUAUUAUUAUUAUUUAUUUUGAGACCUAAGUGCAAAAUGUUAAAAGCACAUGUCCCUUAAGUAUCAAAAGCUAAAAGCACAUGUCCCUUAAGUGCCAAAAAAAAGGAAAACUUGGGCCUUGAAUGUUAAAAGUUUGAAAGUAUAUGAUACUUAAAUAUAUUUUACCUUUGAUUUACAAAUAAGUAUUUAAAUUUUGACAAAUAAGUCCAUAAGUAUUAUAAUUAUUAUAAUCCAUUUGCUCUUUUCUCUCCCUCUCACUCUGUUUCUCUUUGUCCAUGUCUUUCGCCAUUUCUCUUACUAUUUAGGUCUCUCUCCCUCUAUCCAUCUCUUUCUGUCCCUCUCUUUCUAUUUGGGUCU
rnacentral:misc_RNA from 1 species